GAUCAUGGCUCAGGACGAACGCUGGCGGCACGCUUAACACAUGCAAGUCGAACGGAGAAUAUUGGUUACUGAGUAUUCUAGUGGCGGACGGGUGAGUAACACGUGAGCAACCUGCCUUUGAGAGAGGGAUAGCUUCUGGAAACGGAUGGUAAUACCUCAUAACAUAGUUGAAGGGCAUCCUUUGAUUAUCAAAGAUUUAUCACUCAAAGAUGGGCUCGCGUCUGAUUAGAUAGUUGGUGAGGUAACGGCUCACCAAGUCGACGAUCAGUAGCCGGACUGAGAGGUUGAACGGCCACAUUGGGACUGAGACACGGCCCAGACUCCUACGGGAGGCAGCAGUGGGGAAUAUUGCACAAUGGGGGAAACCCUGAUGCAGCGAUGCCGCGUGGAGGAAGAAGGUUUUCGGAUUGUAAACUCCUGUCUUAAAGGACGAUAAUGACGGUACUUUAGGAGGAAGCUCCGGCUAACUACGUGCCAGCCGCCGC
rnacentral:rRNA from 1 species